GAGAGAAGUGCCUAAAGUCAAACCAAUAUUAACAAUUGAAGACUUGAGAAUUGGGUUCAGUUGAUCAAUUCUCACUUCUGACUGGAUGUACUGCCAAAAUGGAUAGAGGAGGACAAGUAUAGAAGGUAGCACAUAAUCAUUAAAGCAUCAAUGAAAGGAACUGCUUUGUUGUUCCAAUAUAUUUGAUGCCAAAGGAUUACACAAAAAAAAGGGGCUACAGAUAAGUUCCUAACAAACCAAUGACAAGAAAAGAAUUAUCAAUUAUGUUACGCUUAGCAUCACACAUAAUUGACGAAAGAGGUACUAGGCUUUUACAGAAGAAGAACGAUGGCCUGCAUACAUUUCGGUAAGCAACGCAGAAUAGUCUGUUCAGAGGAAGGUUUGUAAUUUGAGAAAAAUUCUGGAUCCUGUUCAAGGGACUCUGAAUAUCUGUCCAAAAUUUCAACUAUCUCAUCAAAAUGUGGUCUUUUAUCUGGAUAGCUUGACCAGCAUCUAUUGAUGAGAUGACUAAAUGCCAACGGACAUGCAGGGGGCAAUGGUGGUCGUGCAUUCUGGAGAAAACUCAGAAGAUAUCAGAUAUUAGAACUUAAUGGUCUCUGGCAAAAAAAAAAAAUAAAACUCUUUUCAGGUGAAACAAGAAACCACCACAAAGUGUGUCAGACCAUAAGGUGCGCAAUGUGAAAAUGACAAGUCAUUUUCUAAUCAUCUAUUUAUUAUGAGCAAGAAGUAAUAUGAUCAAUUCUUUCAUUGUAUGGAUGUGUCACUUGCACGCUCAUGGACACUGCCACAAGGAUGGGUAGAUAAUCACGCAUUAAUGUCUGAACGACUACACAAUGAAUGCUUUCAAAUGGGAAGUGCAGAUUAUUAACAUUUAGACUUUAUAUUUUCUUCAGUUUUCAAGGAGAUAUAUUGCACAGAUGAGAAUGACCAAGACAGUGGGGUCACACGUGAUGGCCACAACACAGAGAUGGACACAUGAGUGAUUUGUGCUCAUAUUGCUCAAGCAUUUCAGGAAGAUACAGUUCAGUAAUCAUGGCAGAAGUUGCGAUCAUUGAUAAAGAUUUGUUUGUGGUUAUAUCAAAUAAUUGUUACCAGCAUGGGUAUGUGUUCUCUACUGCUGGAUUGCUUAAUCUUCCUUCAGGUAAACAGCAUUCGAAUAGAACACACCUCUGAUACAAAAACAUUACAAAACUGUAAUAUUACUCUCUCUAUACAAAACUGUACAGCUAUUUCCUGUCAUAUAAACUAUCAAUACCAUGACAAGGAUAGGAGGAUACUUAUCUCUGAUUACCUCUCACACAAUUAUUUUCCACAAUGUAUGCCGAUUAUCAGCCUAAUCCACACACAUGAUCAUGUUAGCAUAAAUUUCAGCAACAAUGCUUUGACCAUGCCAGGUCUAUCAUCAUCAUAAAAACCUAGAAUCUUUAUGCACUAUCAACUGCAUAAACCAUGGUAUGUACCUGUAUGAUACUGAAUGCAUUUGCCAGACCAAAUUAAUAUGCCCCACCAAAGAUCUCACUGGUAAUAGAAAUCAUUGGCAUUGCACAGGCAGUAUCACUAGAACUCUUGUUUUCUUAUUAAAACCUGCCUAAAAUUACUGCUAACCUCUAUAUAAAUAUACCAACAUGGAGAACCUUAUUAAUAUCCUAAAGAAAAAAAUAAAUUUAACAAAAAAAUCUCGAAAAAUAAACAUCACGUAUACACACAUUAGACCAUCAGAGUUAAAUCCCACAUGUUGUCAUCAUCUGUCUUCUUCUAUGAUCAGCUGAAAGUAUUCUUGGACUUUCAUUUCACCAUUUUUUUUGGUUUGCAUAAUUAACUAGAUUAAGAUACAACUAAUAGAUAUAGCUGCUCCUAGUAGUCCUCAAAACUAUUUCAAACUCAACAAGGUUAGAACAUUCUCUUAGGAAUUAAAAGGGAAAAAGAAUUAUGCAGGGUUUGAAUAAAAAUAUAUACCCCAAAGUCUUCAGACAUACUUAGAAGUUCAUUAAAAUAUUUAUGUUAGUUGGCCAUAUAAUCUCUUUCUAUGAAAUUUCAAUUGGUUAAAAUUUGGAAAUUCUUCUCAAGAUAAAUUGUUCAAAAUCAGUACUUUAUGACCAUUUCAUCAUGCAAAAUCUCCUUUAGUCCAUGGCAAACUCAUUAUUACACCAAACAUCAAUUUUCCAGCAGACUAGAUUUGUUCCUUUCAAUUCCAAUUUUUCUUAAAUUUUUCCCCUAUAGGUUAAUUAUUCAUGUAACUAAUAAAAUGCAAUGCAAUGGAGGUUUCAUUGAACAACCAAAAAGGAGAUAUUGCAAAUCCUACUGAUUUGCAUGCAUAAAUGGACUAAAGGUGCAAUGCACAAAAUCGCGCGAUAACUAUUUAAAAUUGGAAAAAGUCAUACCAGAGACACUAAUCGCAUGAAUUUA
rnacentral:misc_RNA from 1 species